UGUUAUCUUAGGUAAUCUCUCUCCCACAAGCCUUUUCAUUGAAGCUGGAUAGUCUCCAUAGAUAAGGGGAUCCAGAAACCUGGUUAAAAUGUCCUUUUAUUACAUCGGUUGUUAGCCUCUUUAUCUGGGAUUGGAUCAUAAAUAUUCAGAGUUCUUCUACCUUAAAGUUUCUCUGGUAGCUGUAGUAAGCAGCUGCAUGAGACAAGAGAAUGUUGUGGGCUACAACAUAGGGUUCAACCGAUGACUUCCCCUUCUUACAAAACAAAUGUCCCAGAAGUGAACACCUUCCCGGAGCUUGUAUCCCCGUGUCAUAGCCUUGGAUCGAGAAUCCGUGAGGCUCGUUGAACGUUAUCCAUUGCUUCACCCUAUCUCCGAAUUCUUUGAAACAGGCGUUUUUUUUGGUGGGUACUUACACAACUUGACUGCUCAACCAUCCUUCAUAUCUGUCUUGUAGAGCUUGUGGGAGGUCCCAAUGGUACAAGGUCACAUAAGAUCUGUGUGAGGAGUUUGCUGCGGGGACAAGCAAGCAAGAAAAAACCUUGUUAUCUUCAAACUCAAGUCAACACACCUCAAACCUGUGAUA